CACGUAGGGACCAAGCGUUGUCCGGAUUCAUUGGGCGUAAAGAGCUCGUAGGCGGUUCAGUAAGUCGGGUGUGAAACCUCCAGGCUCAACCUGGAGACGCCACCCGAUACUGCUGUGACUAGAGUCCAGUAGGGGUAGAGGGAAUUUCCAGUGGAGCGGUGAAAUGCGUAGAUAUUGGAAAGAACACCGAUGGCGAAGGCACUCUACUGGGCUAUUACUGACACUCAGAGACGAAAGCUAGGGGGAGCAAAUGGG
rnacentral:rRNA from 1 species